rnacentral:rRNA from 1 species
CCUACGGGUGGCUGCAGUGGGGAAUAUUGGACAAUGGGCGAAAGCCUGAUCCAGCCAUGCCGCGUGUGUGAAGAAGGCCUUCGGGUUGUAAAGCACUUUCAGUGGGGAAGAAAGCCUUGGGGCUAAUACCCUCGAGGAAGGACAUCACCCACAGAAGAAGCACCGGCUAACUCCGGGCCAGCAGCCGCGGUAAUACGGAGGGUGCGAGCGUUAAUCGGAAUUACUGGGCGUAAAGCGCGCGUAGGCGGUCUGAUAAGCCGGUUGUGAAAGCCCCGGGCUCAACCUGGGAACGGCAUCCGGAACUGUCAGGCUAGAGUGCAGGAGAGGAAGGUAGAAUUCCCGGUGUAGCGGUGAAAUGCGUAGAGAUUGGGAGGAAUACCAGUGGCGAAGGCGGCCUUCUGGACUGACACUGACGCUGAGGUGCGAAAGCGUGGGUAGCAAACAGGAUUAGAUACCCCAGUAGUC